ACUCUGCCUGGGAAUUCUUGAUCUUAAAGAAAAUCAUUAACAUAUUUGGACUUGUAAAGUCCCUUUUAAAUGCUCUGGAGUAUAGCAGUUUAACUCAUAGAAAGCUUCUCAUGAAAAAUGAACUACUUCAGUCCUUCAGAGAAAUAUUCAGUUCUGCAGCUGAUUGAGAUGAUUCCUCCUUUGCAAUUCAACUACUCGGCCUUCAAAAAAGCUAAAGGUGCCUAUAUUUCUAUACUGAGGAAGGCUAAAAGGUUAAAAUGACGGCACCCCAGAAGGAAAUUAAGAUGACAUCCAACAAUACUACCAGUGAAGGAACUUUCACUCAACCUCAUCCAAUUUGCACUUAGCUUCUUCUAAUGUGCAGUGGUUCACUUUGUAAAUAUCUGGAAGGGACAUUAAAAUCAGGCCACACAUUUCAGAAGUCUUGGGUCAAAGUUAUCUUUUUUGUGUGGCUUCUAUUAUGUGUUGUAGGUAUCCAAUAAAAAGUAGCCUAUUAAAUUA